rnacentral:tRNA from 1 species
GCCGGAGUGGCGGAAUGGCAGACGCACUGGACUCAAAAUCCAGCGCCCUUCAAAGGCGUGUGGGUUCAACUCCCACCUCCGGCACCA